UACCAGCUCUCCGAGUGGUAGGGAUGAUUAUUGGGCUUAAAGCGUCCGUAGCCGGCUUGGCGAGUCUCCUGUUAAAUUCAGCGACCUAAUCGUUGACCCGCGGGAGAUACUACUAGGCUAGGAGGCGGGAGAGGCCGACGGUACUUCCGGGGUAGGGGUGAAAUCCUAUAAUCCCGGGAGGACCACCAGUGGCGAAGGCUGUCGGCCAGAACGCGCUCGACGGUGAGGGACGAAAGCUGGGGUAGCGAACCGGAUUAGAUACCCGGGUAGUCCCAGCUGUAAACUAUGCGGGCUAGGUGUUGGGGUGGCUACGAGCCACUUCAGUGCCGCAGGUAAGCCAUUAAGCCCGCCGCCUGGGGAGUACGGCCGCAAGGCUGAAACUUAAAGGAAUUGGCGGGGGAGCACCACAAGGCGUGAAGCUUGCGGUUC
rnacentral:rRNA from 1 species